AUGAACGCUAGCGGCAGGCCUCAUACCUGCCCGUCGAACGGGCGGUAGCAAUACCGCUAGUGGCGCACGGGUGCGUAACGCGUAACCAACCUGCCCAGAUCUGGGGGAUAGCCCGCCGAAAGGCGGAUUAAUACCGCAUAAACCCACAGUGUGGCAUCACAUAAUGGGUAAAGAUUUAUCGGAUCUGGAUGGGGUUGCGUAGCAUUAGCUAGUUGGCGGGGUAAUGGCCCACCAAGGCGACGAUGCUUAGGGGACCUGAGAGGGUGAUCCCCCACACUGGCACUGAGAUACGGGCCAGACGCCUACGGGAGGCAGCAGUAGGGAAUAUUGGGCAAUGGGCGAGAGCCUGACCCAGCCAUGCCGCGUGCCGGAUGAAGGCCUUCUGGGUUGUAAACGGCUUUUCUCAGGGAAGAAAACGGGGAUGCGUCCUCAACUGACGGUACCUGAGGAAUAAGCACCGGCUAACUCCGUG
rnacentral:rRNA from 1 species